rnacentral:rRNA from 1 species
GAUGAACGCUAGCGGCAGGCUUAACACAUGCAAGUCGAGGGGCAGCACGGGUAGCAAUGCCUGGUGGCGACCGGCGGAAGGGUGCGUAACGCGUGAGCAACAUGCCCUAUACAGGGGAAUAAACCAGGGAAACUUGGUCUAAUGCCCCAUAGCAAUAAGAUAAGGCAUCUUAUUUUAUUUAAAGCUUCGGUGGUAUAGGAUUGGCUCGCGUGACAUUAGCUGGAUGGUGGGGUAACGGCCCACCAUGGCGAUGAUGUCUAGGGGUUCUGAGAGGAAGACCCCCCACACUGGGACUGAGACACGGCCCAGACUCCUACGGGAGGCAGCAGUGAGGAAUAUUGGACAAUGGAUGGAAAUCUGAUCCAGCCAUGCCGCGUGCAGGAAGACGGCCCUAUGGGUUGUAAACUGCUUUUCUACGGGAGCAAUAAGGUCUACGCGUAGACUGAUGAGAGUACCGUAGGAAUAAGCAUCGGCUAACUCCGUGCCAGCAGCCGCGGUAAUACGGAGGAUGCGAGCGUUAUCCGGAUUUAUUGGGUUUAAAGGGUGCGUAGGCGGCUUUUUAAGUCAGCGGUGAAAUUUUGCAGCUUAACUGUAACAGUGCCGUUGAUACUGGGGAGCUAGGAUUUGGUUGCUGUGGGUGGAAUGUGUGGUGUAGCGGUGAAAUGCUUAGAGAUCACACAGAAUAUCGAUUGCGAAGGCAGCUCACAAAGCCAAGAUUGACGCUGAGGCACGAAAGUGUGGGGAUCAAACAGGAUUAGAUACCCUGGUAGUCCACACUGUAAACGAUGAUAACUCGCUGUCGGCGAUACACAGUCGGUGGCCAAGCGAAAGCGAUAAGUUAUCCACCUGGGGAGUACGACCGCAAGGUUGAAACUCAAAGGAAUUGACGGGGGCCCGCACAAGCGGAGGAACAUGUGGUUUAAUUCGAUGAUACGCGAGGAACCUUACCC